AUUGAACGCUGGCGGCAUGCCUUACACAUGCAAGUCGAACGGCAGCACGGGAGCUUGCUCCUGGUGGCGAGUGGCGAACGGGUGAGUAAUACAUCGGAACGUACCCUGAAGUGGGGGAUAACGUAGCGAAAGUUACGCUAAUACCGCAUAUUCUGUGAGCAGGAAAGAGGGGGAUCGCAAGACCUCUUGCUUUUAGGAGCGGCCGAUGUCGGAUUAGCUAGUCGGUGAGGUAAAGGCUCACCAAGGCGACGAUCCGUAGCGGGUCUGAGAGGAUGAUCCGCCACACUGGGACUGAGACACGGCCCAGACUCCUACGGGAGGCAGCAGUGGGGAAUUUUGGACAAUGGCGCAAGCCUGAUCCAGCCAUGCCGCGUGAGUGAAGAAGGCCUCGG
rnacentral:rRNA from 1 species